GUGAGAGAGUCCAGGCCACGGAACCUGCCCAGGCCAGAUCCACAGCCAAGUCCACCGCCGGGUCCUAAGAAGGCUCAGCUUCCCAGGGAUCACGUGUAUCACGGAGACCGCCACAUUCUUAGCCCUUCACCCCGCCAAAAGGCCUCAUGAGAAAAUGCGAAUGACCACGUGAGGGCGCUAUUACCUCACAAUUUUCCUGCAAAAACUGCCCUCUGCUAACAGGGAUGUCCCCCAUCGCUUUUGUUUCUGCGGCUCAGCCAAGGGAUGCCUCUGGGAAAGAGGGUGACACACACUCCCGGAUCUGCAUUAAUAUGGAAGAGCAGAGAUAAGAAAGCCAAGGUUCAGAUAAUUCAGUAAUUUUUCCAAGUCACACAUUAAGACAGAAAUCCAGGAUUCAGGUCCAGUGUGAAGAAAAUCAUCAUUGGGACUUUCAACUAUAUCACUCUACCUAACUGUACUCUUAGCCUGGGCGCCGAAGAAAAAAGUCUUUAGCAUAUGUUUAGUGCCCUGAGAUCUUCAGCUCCAGGCAAUAGUGUGCUGGUAAAUAUGGGGGAAAACAUAUGCAUAA